rnacentral:rRNA from 1 species
UCCAGAGGUCCCAAGCGUUGUUCGGAUUCACUGGGCGUAAAGGGUGCGUAGGUGGUCGGGUAAGUCUGAUGUGAAAUCUCCGAGCUUAACUCGGAAAUGGCAUUGGAUACUAUUCGGCUGGAGGUUUGGAGGGGGGACUGGAAUUCUCGGUGUAGCGGUGAAAUGCGUAGAUAUCGAGAGGAACACCAGUGGCGAAGGCGGUUCUCUGGGCAUUACCUGACGCUGAGGAGCGAAAGUGUGGGGAGCGAACAGG